rnacentral:rRNA from 1 species
AUCGAACGCUGGCGGCAGGCUUAACACAUGCAAGUCGAGCGGAGAUGAGGUGCUUGCACCUUAUCUUAGCGGCGGACGGGUGAGUAAUGCUUAGGAAUCUGCCUAUUAGUGGGGGACAACAUUCCGAAAGGAAUGCUAAUACCGCAUACGUCCUACGGGAGAAAGCAGGGGAUCUUCGGACCUUGCGCUAAUAGAUGAGCCUAAGUCGGAUUAGCUAGUUGGUGGGGUAAAGGCCUACCAAGGCGACGAUCUGUAGCGGGUCUGAGAGGAUGAUCCGCCACACUGGGUCUGAGACACGGCCCAGACUCCUACGGGAGGCAGCAGUGGGGAAUAUUGGACAAUGGGGGGAACCCUGAUCCAGCCAUGCCGCGUGUGUGAAGAAGGCCUUAUGGUUGUAAAGCACUUUAAGCGAGGAGGAGGCUACUGAGACUAAUACUCUUGGAUAGUGGACGUUACUCGCAGAAUAAGCACCGGCUAACUCUGUGCCAGCCGCCGCUGUAA